CUUUCUUGGCCAACUGCAAGUCCUUUUUAGUCUUUACAGUUUUCAUUAAUUCUUUCUUUAAAACUCUCAUUGUCUUGCUUUGGUUAAGCUCAGGUAUCAAUAAAAAAACAUACCAGAAUUAGGGUUUUCUGGCAACAUCUACUUUUGAGCUCUAGGUCUAUGUCAUGCUAAGGAAGAUAAAUGUUCACAGAAAUAUGCAUCGUGGUUUGGUUCUACAAAACUUGACCAUAAUGGCAGGGAAAAAGAGUUAAGGAGCUUCCUUCAGCCCAACCAAGGAUAUAUGAGGAAAU
rnacentral:lncRNA from 1 species